CUGGUUUGGGAAGGAAAUGCUUGCCGCGUGCCCAAACCUUGGCUGCUGUGACCUCACGUGGUUGCUCCUGACGAUCGUGUUGCUCCUGUGGUCUGCAGCAUGGCGUUAAAGAUGUUGUUGGCGGGAAUGUGCAAUGUAAAAAGCACGAGGGACGCAAAGGAACGCAACCGUUUUCUUGACAAAAAAGUUCUGUGCAGCACAGUGGAACCUGCAGGCUUUUUCGAUCAACCAGGAGAGCAAACGCAUCUUCAAGGUGCCCUUCUACGCCUUAUCGUCUGAUAGCGAUUUUUAUUCGAACAAGUGGAGAACUCUAUUUCUGAAGUCAUGGAGAGUCAAUAGAUAUUUUAUUAAAAAUGAAGAUUCCGAA